GACGUAGGGGGCGAGCGUUGUCCGGAGUUACUGGGUGUAAAGCGUGCGCAGGCGGUUCGUUGUGUCGGCGGGGAAAGCCCCGGGCUUAACCUGGGAAUGGCCGUUGAAACUGGCGAACUGGAGUGUGGCAGAGGGGGGUGGAAUUCCGCGUGUAGCAGUGAAAUGCGUAGAGAUGCGGAGGAACACCGAUGGCGAAGGCAGCCCCCUGGGCUAACACUGACGCUCAGGCACGAAAGCGUGGGGAGCAAACAGG
rnacentral:rRNA from 1 species